rnacentral:rRNA from 1 species
UUCCGGUUGAUCCUGCCGGACCCCACUGCUAUCGGGAUGGGACUAAGACAUGCUAGUCCAGCGUCUCUAAGCUAUGGAAGAGACGCGGCACACAGCUCAGUAACACGUGGCUAACCUGCCCUUGGGACAAGGACAACUCCGGGAAACUGGGGCUAAUCCCUGAUAGGUGAGAACUCCUGGAAUGGAUUCUCGCUGAAAGGACGUUUAGACCAUGCUUCUAGGCGUCGCCCAAGGAGGGGGCCGCGACCGAUCAGGUUGUUGGUGAGGUAACGGCUCACCAAGCCUUUAACCGGUACGGGCCGUGAGAGCGGAAGCCCGGAGAUGGGCACUGAGACAAGGGCCCAGGCCCUACGGGGCGCAGCAGUCGCGAAAACUCCGCAAUACACGAAAGUGUGACGGGGCUAUCCCGAGUGCCAUCCGCUGAGGAUGGCUUUUCCCCAGUGUAUAAAGCUGGGGGAAUAAGGAGAGGGCAAGCCUGGUGUCAGCCGCCGCGGUAAUACCAGCUCUCCGAGUGGUGGGGAUGUUUAUUGGGCCUAAAGCAUUCGUAGCCUGCUUGGCAAGUCCUCCGUUAAAUCCAACGAUUCAAUCGUUGGGCUGCGGAGGAUACUGUCCGGCUAGGGGGCGGGAGAGGCCGACGGUAUCCCCGGGGUAGGGGUGAAAUCCUAUAAUCCCGGGACGACCACCAGUGGCGAAGGCUGUCAGCUAGACGCGCUCGACGAUGAGGGAUGAUAGCUGGGGGAGCCUAAACUGAUACAUACCGGGUAGUCCUAGCUGCAAACGAUGCAGCUAGGUGUUGCAUGCAUACGUGUCGCUCAACUGCCGCAAGGCAUCAGCUCAGCCUGCAGACUGAGAAUACGGGCGCUAGGACCUAAACUAUGAAUGGAAUUGCGGGGCAGCAC